rnacentral:lncRNA from 1 species
CUUGUUAUCACUGAAUGGUAAAGAUUGGUUGGUAGUAAAAGUGAAUAUACAUUGUAUAUUGUAUAAAACAAUGAUUUAAGUUGAUUCAACUACUAUUCUGAACAAAGAAAGAUAACUCCAAUUGAAAAUUUCUUGCUAUUGCACAAUAUUGUGCAAUUAGAUAUUUCUUGCUAUUGCGCAAUACUGUGCAAUUGAAAAUAUUUGCUAUUGCACAAUACUGUGCAAUUGAAGAUUUCUUGCCAUUGCGCAAU